UACGUAGGUCCCGAGCGUUGUCCGGAUUUACUGGGUGUAAAGGGAGCGUAGACGGUAAUGCAAGUCUGGAGUGAAAACCCGGGGCUCAACCCCGGGACUGCUUUGGAAACUGUAUAACUGGAGUGCCGGAGAGGUAAGCGGAAUUCCUAGUGUAGCGGUGAAAUGCGUAGAUAUUAGGAGGAACACCAGUGGCGAAGGCGGCUUACUGGACGGUAACUGACGUUGAGGCUCGAAAGCGUGGGGAGCAAACAGG
rnacentral:rRNA from 1 species